GACCAGAUAAUCUAAACAAGAUACUUCGCUGUAAACGAAACCAUAAGACAAAAACUCUUUCUAGCCA
rnacentral:tRNA from 1 species